rnacentral:rRNA from 1 species
UACAGGGGGUGCAAGCGUUGCUCGGAAUAACUGGGCGUAAAGCGUGCGCAGGUGGUUUUGUAAGUCGGAUGUGAAAUCCCAGGGCUCAACCCUGGAACUGCAUUCGAAACUGCAAGGCUUGAGUACGGGAGAGGUGAGUGGAAUUCCUGGUGUAGAGGUGAAAUUCGUAGAUAUCAGGAGGAACACCAGUGGCGAAAGCGGCUCACUGGCCCGAUACUGACGCUCAUGCACGAAAGCGUGGGGAGCAAACAGG